rnacentral:rRNA from 1 species
AACGCGAAGAACCUUACCUGGGUUUGACAUGGAUCGGGAGCGCUCAGAGAUGGGUGUGCCUCUUUUGGGGUCGGUUCACAGGUGGUGCAUGGCUGUCGUCAGCUCGUGUCGUGAGAUGUUGGGUUAAGUCCCGCAACGAGCGCAACCCUUGUUCACUGUUGCCAGCACGUUAUGGUGGGGACUCAGUGGAGACCGCCGGGGUCAACUCGGAGGAAGGUGGGGAUGACGUCAAGUCAUCAUGCCCCUUAUGUCCAGGGCUUCACGCAUGCUACAAUGGCUGGUACAGAGAGUGGCGAGCCUGUGAGGGUGAGCGAAUCUCGGAAAGCCGGUCUCAGUUCGGAUUGGGGUCUGCAACUCGACCUCAUGAAGUCGGAGUCGCUAGUAAUCGCAGAUCAGCACGCC